rnacentral:rRNA from 1 species
CCUACGGGUGGCAGCAGUGAGGAAUAUUGGUCAAUGGACGAGAGUCUGAACCAGCCAAGUAGCGUGAAGGAUGACUGCCCUAUGGGUUGUAAACUUCUUUUAUAAGGGAAUAAAACGAGGCACGUGUGCCUUUUUGCAUGUACUUUAUGAAUAAGGAUCGGCUAACUCCGUGCCAACAGCCGCGGUAAUACGGAGGAUCCGAGCGUUAUCCGGAUUUAUUGGGUUUAAAGGGAGCGUAGAUGGGUUGUUAAGUCAGUUGUGAAAGUUUGCGGCUCAACCGUAAAAUUGCAAUUGAUACUGGCAGUCGUGAGUACAGUUGAGGUAGGCGGAAUUCGUGGUGUAGCGGUGAAAUGCUUAGAUAUCACGAAGAACCCCGAUUGCGAAGGCAGCUUACUAAACUGUGACUGACAUUGAUGCUCGAAAGUGUGGGUAUCAAACAGGAUUAGAUACCCUGGUAGUC